CGCCAGUGCGAGUGAUGCUGUAUUUUGGAUUCUGAACUAUGUAUAUGAAGCUCAGUUUGUUUAGUUUUUGUUUACUCGAGCAGCUCUAUACUACUGUUUGUAGUAUUGUUUGAUUUACAGGUACUGAUGUCGCUUCGUAUAUAGGGGAAAUUUCUUUGUAUACGGCGGAUUUGUCGGCGUGCCCGGGGAACGAGACAUCCGGGGCGUGACAAAAAUAUUUAUAGCUGCAACAGUUUCUGCUACAUCGAAUCAAACAAAAUACAUGUAAUUAUAAAUAAUGUACUUUUAACUGUAUGUAUUUCAAUUAUACUG
rnacentral:lncRNA from 1 species